UACGUAGGGGGCUAGCGUUGUUCGGAAUUACUGGGCGUAAAGCGCGCGCAGGCGGCUAUCCAAGUCAGUGGUGAAAGCCCGGAGCUCAACUCCGGAACUGCCAUUGAAACUGUUUAGCUGGAGUAUGAGAGAGGUGAGUGGAAUUCCCAGUGUAGAGGUGAAAUUCGUAGAUAUUGGGAAGAACACCGGUGGCGAAGGCGGCUCACUGGCUCAUUACUGACGCUCAUGCGCGACAGCGUGGGGAUCAAACAGG
rnacentral:rRNA from 1 species